UACGUAGGGUGCAAGCGUUAAUCGGAAUUACUGGGCGUAAAGCGUGCGCAGGCGGUUUUGUAAGUCUGAUGUGAAAUCCCCGGGCUCAACCUGGGAAUUGCAUUGGAGACUGCAAGGCUAGAAUCUGGCAGAGGGGGGUAGAAUUCCACGUGUAGCAGUGAAAUGCGUAGAUAUCGAGAGGAACACCUGCGGCGAAGGCGGGUUGCUGGGCUGACACUGACGCUGAUGCGCGAAAGCCAGGGGAGCGAACGGG
rnacentral:rRNA from 1 species